rnacentral:tRNA from 1 species
GCGGAGGUGGCAGAGUGGUCUAAUGCGCCAGCCUGGAAAGCUGGUUUCCGCAAGGAAGCACGAGUUCGAAUCUCGUCCUCCGCG